rnacentral:rRNA from 1 species
GAGUUUGAUCCUGGCUCAGAUUGAACGCUGGCGGCAUGCCUUACACAUGCAAGUCGAACGGCAGCACGGGAGCUUGCUCCUGGUGGGCGAGUGGCGAACGGGUGAGUAAUGCAUCGGAACGUAUCCUGGAGUGGGGGAUAACGUAGCGAAAGUUACGCUAAUACCGCAUAUUCUGUGAGCAGGAAAGCGGGGGACCUUCGGGCCUCGCGCUCUUGGAGCGGCCGAUGUCGGAUUAGCUAGUUGGUGAGGUAAAGGCUCACCAAGGCGACGAUCCGUAGCAGGUCUGAGAGGAUGAUCUGCCACACUGGAACUGAGACACGGUCCAGACUCCUACGGGAGGCAGCAGUGGGAAUUUUGGACAAUGGGGGC